rnacentral:tRNA from 1 species
GCACUAUUAGCUCAGUUGGCAGAGCAUUUGACUCGUAAUCAAAAGGUCGCAGGUUCAAGCCCUGUAUAGUGCA